rnacentral:rRNA from 1 species
UGUAAUGUGGGAAGUCCCUUCGGGGACAGGAAGACAGGUGGUGCAUGGUUGUCGUCAGCUCGUGUCGUGAGAUGUUGGGUUAAGUCCCGCAACGAGCGCAACCCUUAUUGUUAGUUGCUACCAUUUAGUUGAGCACUCUAGCGAGACUGCCCGGGUUAACCGGGAGGAAGGUGGGGAUGACGUCAAAUCAUCAUGCCCCUUAUGUCUAGGGCUACACACGUGCUACAAUGGCCGGUACAACGAGAUGCAAUACCGUGAGGUGGAGCAAAACUAUAAAACCGGUCUCAGUUCGGAUUGUAGGCUGAAACUCGCCUACAUGAAGCUGGAGUUACUAGUAAUCGCGAAUCAGCAUGUCGCGGUGAAUACGUUCCCGGGCCUUGUACACACCGCCCGUCACACCAUGAGAGUUGGCAAUACCCAAAGUUGGUGAUCUAACCCGUAAGGGAGGAAGCCACCUAAGGUAGGGUCAGCGAUUGGGGUGAAGUCGUAACAAGGUAGCCGUAGGAGAAC